AGCAGUCGCCGCGGUAAUACGAAGGGGGCUAGCGUUGCUCGGAAUUACUGGGCGUAAAGGGAGCGUAGGCGGACAUUUAAGUCAGGGGUGAAAUCCCAGAGCUCAACUCCGGAACUGCCUUUGAUACUGGGUGUCUUGGGUGUGAUAGAGGUAUGUGGAACUCCGAGUGUAGAGGUGAAAUUCGUAGAUAUUCGGAAGAACACCAGUGGCGAAGGCGACAUACUGGAUCAUUACUGACGCUGAGGCUCGAAAGCGUGGGGAGCAAACAGGAUUAGAUACCCGUGUAGUCCCUGUCUCUUAUAC
rnacentral:rRNA from 1 species